GAUGAACGCUGGCGGCGUGCCUAAUACAUGCAAGUCGAGCGAACGGACGAGAAGCUUGCUUCUCUGAUGUUAGCGGCGGACGGGUGAGUAACACGUGGAUAACCUACCUAUAAGACUGGGAUAACUUCGGGAAACCGGAGCUAAUACCGGAUAAUAUUUUGAACCGCAUGGUUCAAAAGUGAAAGACGGUCUUGCUGUCACUUAUAGAUGGAUCCGCGCUGCAUUAGCUAGUUGGUAAGGUAACGGCUUACCAAGGCAACGAUGCAUAGCCGACCUGAGAGGGUGGUCGGCCACACGAGAGCGGAGACGCGGUCCCGACUCCUACGGGAGGCAGCAGUAGGGAAGCUUCCGCAAUGGGCGAAAGCCUGACGGAGCAACGCCGCGUGAGUGAUGAAGGUCUUCGGAUCGUAAAACUCUGUUAUUAGGGAAGAACAUAUGUGUAAGUAACUGUGCACAUCUUGACGGUACCUAAUCAGAAAGCCACGGCUAACUACGUG
rnacentral:rRNA from 1 species